UGAGUAUUACAUCAGGUACUUCAUGAUAUUUGAUAUCGCAGUGCCUUUUGUGAUAAUCACA
rnacentral:pre_miRNA from 1 species